rnacentral:tRNA from 1 species
GGCAGCGGUUGCAGGGCUGGUGCCCGCCACGGACUUCAAAUCCGAUGUGUCCGGUUACGCCGGAUAGGUAGGUUCGAUUCCUAUGCGCUGCCGC